ensembl:lncRNA
GCAUGUCAUAAUGGUACUGAAAACUAUAGCUUUAACCUAUGUAAGUAAGGUUUACAUUUUUGCCUAUUCAGUUAUUAAAGCUUUAGAGGCAGGAUGGUAAAAUCUCAAUUUUUUUGGUAGAUUGAACCAUUUCAGCAGCAAUGCUUUGCUUUGGUUGCUCUGUUUUGUUUUUCUGGGGGGGGGGGGGUUAAAAAACAAACCCAUUUCUUUGUUAAUUGAAUUUUUUUUCUUCUUUUUUUUCUUUUUUUUUCUUCUUCGUCAAUUAUUAGUUUGCCCAAUCUCUCAUUGAGGGUAAAACACAUGUGGAGGAGUACAACACUGAAAUCCCAAAGCUCAGGUCACGACUUUGCCACUACUUAUUUUCCUCAAUAGGUAAAUAUAAAAUUAGCCGCCUUCUUUUUCUCUAACAUUGGAAAAUGUAACUUGUACUUAAACAAAUUAUAUUUUGCAGAUCGAACUAGGAAGUGCAGUCAGUGCUGGUGUGUGAUUGCAGCCAAAGACUGGGUACGCUAUGACAUGUCCUUAGCCAUAUAGAUUGUUUAUAUAAUGGACUUUGUUCAUUUGUUUUUUGUUUGUUUCUUUCUUUUUUUUUAAUUCACAGGUGCAGUGCCAGAAAUGUGGUGCAUACAAGCACAUGCGUUGUUCAAAGUCUGUUUGUGGCAUCUGUAUCUUCUGUGAGACACAGUGCAGCACAGCAGAGGGAAAGGAGUUGUGCAGCAUAGUAGGUGGCUAUACAGGAGGAGCAAUAGAAGUAGCCAGCGAAGAAUGUCAUCAGGGAAAGCAUCAGGCAGCGAAUGACAAAGGAAAAGUUCCUAAGGGAGAGGACAUCUGCAGCAAACUGACAAGUAACAGUGAGAUAGGAGGACUGGCAGUCAGAGAUGAAGGUACACAGACUGAAGACAAAGAAAAAGAAACAGAAGUAUACAGCACAAGUCUGAGUACAGAUACUGCUGCUGAUGUUGACAGGAUCGAUGCAGAUACAGAAUUUCAAACUGAUUCAGAAGGAACUAGUACAGUUUACAGAGUGCAUGGUCGCUUAUCUGUACCAAGCUCAAAAAAGAAAACUUACACAAUAACAGAAGACGAGAUCAAGCGCAGAAUCCAAGCAGAGAACAUGUCAGUUCAUGUUUUCAGAGGUUUGAUUGGG